AUUGAACGCUGGCGGAAUGCUUUACACAUGCAAGUCGAACGGCAGCACGGGGGCGAACCCUGGUGGCGAGUGGCGAACGGGUGAGUAACACAUCGGAACGUGCCCAGUCGUGGGGGAGUAACGUAGCGAAAGCUACGCUAAUACCGCAUACGAACUCUGGUUGAAAGCGGGGACGUCGCAAGGGCCUCGCGCGAUUGGAGCGGCCGAUGGCAGAUUAGGUAGUUGGUGGGGUAAAGGCCGUACCAAGCCGACGAUCUGUAGCUGGUCUGAGAGGACGACCAGCCACACUGGGACUGAGACACGGCCCAGACUCCUACGGGAGGCAGCAGUGGGGAAUAUUGCGCAAUGGGCGAAAGCCUGACGCAGCGACGCUGCGUGAGGGAUGACGGCC
rnacentral:rRNA from 1 species